CCUACGGGGGGCAGCAGUGGGGAAUAUUGCACAAUGGGGGAAACCCUGAUGCAGCGACGCCGCGUGAAGGAAGAAGGUCUUCGGAUCGUAAACUUCUAUCAGCAGGGAAGAAGGAAGUGACGGUACCUGAAUAAGAAGCCCCGGCUAACUACGUGCCAGCAGCCGCGGUAAUACGUAGGGGGCAAGCGUUAUCCGGAAUCACUGGGUGUAAAGGGUGCGUAGGCGGUAGGGCAAGUCAGAUGAGAAAGCCCGGGGCUCAACUCCGGGAUUGCAUUCGAAACUGUCUUACUAGAGUGCAGGAGAUGAAAGCGGAAUUCGUAGUGUAGCGGUGAAAAGCGUAGAUAUUAGGAAGAACACGAGUAGCGAAGGCGGCUUUCUGGACUGUAACUGACGCUGAGGCACGAAAGCGUGGGGAGCGAACAGGAUUAGAUACCCCAGUAGUC
rnacentral:rRNA from 1 species